UACAGAGACUGCAAGCGUUAUUCGGAUUCACUGGGCGUAAAGGGUGCGCAGGCGGCCAAGUGUGUGAGGCGUGAAAGCCUGGGGCUUAACUCCAGAAUUGCACCUCAAACUACAUGGCUAGAGCAUUGGAGAGGGUAGCAGAAUUCACGGUGUAGCAGUGAAAUGCGUAGAUAUCGUGAGGAAUACCAGAGGCGAAGGCGGCUACUUGGACAAUUGCUGACGCUCAGGCACGAAAGCGUGGGGAGCAAAAGGG
rnacentral:rRNA from 1 species